UACGUAGGGGGCAAGCGUUGUCCGGAAUUAUUGGGCGUAAAGCGCGUGUAGGCGGCUCGGUAAGUCUGCUGUGAAAGUCCAAAGCUCAACCUUGGAAAGCCGGUGGAUACUGUCGAGCUCGAGUCCGGAAGAGGCGAGUGGAAUUCCUGGUGUAGCGGUGAAAUGCGCAGAUAUCAGGAAGAACACCCGUGGCGAAGGCGGCUCUCUGGUACGUGACUGACGCUGAGACGCGAAAGCGUGGGGAGCGAACAGG
rnacentral:rRNA from 1 species